CAAGUCGAACGAGAAAGUGGAGCAAUCCAUGAGUAAAGUGGCGCACGGGUGAGUAACACGUGACUAACCUACCCUUGAGUGGGGGAUAACCUCGGGAAACCGGGGCUAAUACCGCAUAAUACCUGCGGGUCAAAGGAGCAAUUCGCUUAAGGAGGGGGUCGCGGCAGAUUAGUUAGUUGGCGGGGUAAUGGCCCACCAAGACGGUGAUCUGUAUCCGGCCUGAGAGGGCGCACGGACACACUGGAACUGAAACACGGUCCAGACUCCUACGGGAGGCAGCAGUGGGGAAUUUUGCGCAAUGGGGGAAACCCUGACGCAGCAACGCCGCGUGGAGGAUGAAGUCCCUUGGGACGUAAACUCCUUUCGAUCGGGACGAUUAUGACGGUACCGGAAGAAGAAGCCCCGGCUAACUUCGUGCCAGCAGCCGCGGUAAUACGAGGGGGGCGAGCGUUGUUCGGAAUUAUUGGGCGUAAAGGGCGCGUAGGCGGUCGGAUAAGUCUUGUGUGAAAUCUUCGGGCUCAACUCGAAGUCUGCACAGGAAACUAUCUGGCUUGAGUGUGGGAGAGGUGAGUGGAAUUCCUGGUGUAGCGGUGAAAUGCGUAGAUAUCAGGAGGAACACCUGUGGCGAAAGCGGCUCACUGGACCACAACUGACGCUGAGGCGCGAAAGCUAGGGGAGCAAACAGGAUUAGAUACCCUGGUAGUCCUAGCCCUAAACGAUGAUCGCUUGGUGUGACGGGUACCCAAUCCCGCCGUGCCGAAGCUAACGCGUUAAGCGAUCCGCCUGGGGAGUACGGUCG
rnacentral:rRNA from 1 species